CAAUCCAUGAGUAAAGUGGCGUACGGGUGAGUAACACGUGGAUCAUCUACCUCUUAGUGGGGAAUAACCCUGGGAAACCGGGGCUAAUACCGCAUAAGCCUGAAAAGGGAAAGCAGUAAUGCGCUGAGAGAGGAGUCCGCGGCCGAUUAGCUAGUUGGUAGGGUAAUGGCCUACCAAGGCAAUGAUCGGUAGCCGGCCUGAGAGGGCACACGGCCACACUGGCACUGAAACACGGGCCAGACUCCUACGGGAGGCAGCAGUGGGGAAUCUUGCACAAUGGAGGAAACUCUGAUGCAGCGACGCCGCGUGAGCGAUGAAGCCCUUCGGGGUGUAAAGCUCUUUCGACGGGAACGAUAAUGACGGUACCCGGAGAAGAAGCUGCGGCUAACUACGUGCCAGCAGCCGCGGUAAUACGUAGGCAGCGA
rnacentral:rRNA from 1 species